rnacentral:rRNA from 1 species
CAGCCGCCGCGGGAAUACGAAGGGGGCUAGCGUUGCUCGGAAUGACUGGGCGUAAAGGGCGCGUAGGCGGCCUACACAGUCAGAUGUGAAAUUCCUGGGCUCAACCUGGGGACUGCAUUUGAUACGUGUAAGCUUGAGUGGAGAAGAGGGUCGUGGAAUUUCCAGUGUAGAGGUGAAAUUCGUAGAUAUCGGGAGGAACACCGAUGGCGAAGGCAGGUCUCUGGGCAUUAACUGACGCUGAGGAGCGAAAGCAUGGGGAGCGAACAGGAUUAGAUACCCCAGUAGUCCCUGUCUCUUAUAA